rnacentral:ncRNA from 1 species
UGUUGAGCUUGACUCUAGUCUGGCACUGUGAAGAGACAUGAGAGGUGUAGAAUAAGUGGGAGGCCCCGGCCGCCGGUGAAAUACCACUACUCUUAUUGUUUUUCGCGCCGGGUGCAACCCGCUCCGGGGACAGUGGCAGGUGGGGAUUUUGCCUGGGGCGGUACACUUGUCAAAUGGUAACGCAGGUGUCCUAAGGCGAGCUUAGGGAGGACAGAAAUUUCCUGUGGAGCAGAAGGGUAAAAGCUUGCUUGAUCUUGAAUACAGACCGUGAAAGUGGGGCCUCACGAUCCUUCUGAAUUUUUGGUCAAAGGGCUAUUUUUGGUCAAAUAGCCCUUACAUAGCCUGGAGUUGUGUUGGGUCAUUAAGCGCAAACCAGAUGGGAUGGAGUAUCGCUGCAGAAUGCUGUGGUAGCCAUGCUGGUUAAGUAUGCCUUGAACUCUAAAUAAAUCACAGACAGUGUCACCAGCAAAGCACUCCCACA